UCCCUGGUGGCUCAGAGGUUAAAGCGUCUGCCUCCAAUGCAGGAGACCCAGGUUCAAUCCCUGGGUCAGGAAG
rnacentral:tRNA from 1 species